rnacentral:rRNA from 1 species
AGAGUUUGAUCCUGGCUCAGAAUCAACGCUGGCGGCGCGCUUAACACAUGCAAGUCGAACGAGAAAGGGGAGCAAUCCCUGAGUAAAGUGGCGUACGGGUGAGUAACACGUGGGUAAUCUACCUUUUGGUGGGGAAUAACUCUGGGAAACCGGAGCUAAUACCGCAUAAGCCUUAACGGGGAAAAGAGAAAUCUGCCGAAAGAGGAGCCCGCGGCCGAUUAGCUAGUUGGUGGGGUAAAGGCCUACCAAGGCAAAGAUCGGUAGCCGGCCUGAGAGGGCACACGGCCACACUGGCACUGAAACACGGGCCAGACUCCUACGGGAGGCAGCAGUGGGGAAUCUUGCACAAUGGGGGAAACCCUGAUGCAGCGACGCCGCGUGAGCGAUGAAGCCCUUCGGGGUGUAAAGCUCUUUCGGUCCGAACGAUAAUGACGGUACGGAAAGAAGAAGCUGCGGCUAACUACGUGCCAGCAGCCGCGGUAAUACGUAGGCAGCGAGCGUUGUUCGGAGUUACUGGGCGUAAAAGGUGCGUAGGCGGUUCCCUAAGUUUGGUGUGAAAUCUCCCGGCUCAACUGGGAGGGUGCGCCGAAAACUGGGGGACUUGAGUACCGGAGAGGUAAGCGGAAUUCCUGGUGUAGCGGUGAAAUGCGUAGAGAUCAGGAGGAACACCUGUGGUGUAGACAGCUUACUGGACGGUCACUGACGCUGAGGCACGAAAGCGUGGGUAGCAAACAGGAUUAGAUACCCUAGUAGUCC